UGAAAAAGGCCCUUUCUAAACAAGAGAUGCAGUCUGCUGGAUCGCAAAGAGGCCGUGGAGGUGGAUCUGGCAACUUUAUGGGUCGUGGAGGAAACUUUGGAGGUGGUGGAGGGAAUUUUGGCCGUGGUGGAAACUUUGGUGGAAGAGGAGGUUACGGUGGUGGAGGAGGUGG